AUUCAGUGGCGUACGCCUGACUACCAUCGGACGUUGCUAGUAUGUGACGGUGACACUAUUAGAAAGAGUAGCUAAUACCGAAUAAGGUCAGUUAAUUGUGUGAGGAAAAGAAAGGAAGCCUUUAAAGCUUCGCUUGUAGAUGAGUCGGGGUCUUAUUAGCUAGUUGGUAGGGUAAAUGCCUACCAAGGCAAUGAUAAGUAACCGGCCUGAGAGGGUGAACGGUCACACUGGAACUGAGAUACGGUCCAGACUCCUACGGGAGGCAGCAGCUAAGAAUCUUCCGCAAUGGGCGAAAGCCUGACGGAGCGACACUGCGUGAAUGAAGAAGGUCGAAAGAUUGUAAAAUUCUUUUAUAAAUGAGGAAUAAGCUUUGUAGGAAAUGACAAAGUGAUGACGUUAAUUUAUGAAUAAGCCCCGGCUAAUUACGUGCCAGCAGCCGCGGUAAUACGUAAGGGGCGAGCGUUGUU
rnacentral:rRNA from 1 species